GUUAAACGAUCUAUUAAUAUGCAUUGUGAAUUAAUUAUGUAUAAAUAAAAAUAAUUAGUAUUAUAAUUGAGUGCAGAACAUGUGAUGUAUUACACGUACACGAGUUGUGUAUGACGUAAGCAGAUGACUCACGGAAGUGCAAGAGACGCACUGAACACGAGAUGAGAGCGAUACAGAAGGGAUUAAAAAGAAUGAUGAUUGCUGAUUUAAGCGUGGAUGCUAGCCGAUUGUGAAGCUCCUUUUGACUCUGAAGCGGGUGUUUAUCAAACUGUGAAACUCGGGAUUUGGUCAGGUUUAUUGGUUGAGUUGAGAACCUCUCUCAUGGAUUUGAGAUGGCGGGCCACCAAGAAAAAAAUUGAAUGCUGAUUUCUGAACCUGGGAAAAAGACACUUUUGCUGCAUCACAAGGAUUCCUUAAAUUCUUCAACUUUCUUCAAUUGGGAGGACAUUCUCUUUUGUUCGGGUACUUCUUUGAACUGGUAGGAUUUAACUGAUUUUGCACUCACCCACUGGAUUUCUUACAGGACUUUCUGGACGAUAUUCAAAGACAAUUCAGACAAAGAGUUCU